UACGAAGGUCCCAAGCGUUGUUCGGAAUCACUGGGCGUAAAGGGAGCGUAGGCGGCGUGGUAAGUCAGAUGUGAAAUCCCGGGGCUCAACCCCGGAACUGCAUCCGAUACUGCCAUGCUUGAGGGUUGGAGAGGUAGCUGGAAUUCUCGGUGUAGCAGUGAAAUGCGUGGAUAUCGAGAGGAACACUCGUGGCGAAGGCGAGCCACUGGACAACAUCUGACGCUGAGGCUCGAAGGCUAGGGGAGCAAAAGGG
rnacentral:rRNA from 1 species